rnacentral:rRNA from 1 species
AUGAACGCUGGCGGCGUGCCUCACACAUGCAAGUCGAACGGAGUCCAGCCUUUAAGACCUUCGGGUCAAAGAGGGGAAGACUGAGUGGCGGACGGGUGAGUAACACGUGGGCAACCUGGCUCAUAGAGGGGGAUAACAGAGAGAAAUUUCUGCUAAUACCGCAUAAGCACACACUGCCGCAUGGCAGAGGGUGAAAAGAGAAUCGCUAUGAGAUGGACCCGCGUCUGAUUAGCCAGUUGGCAGGGUAAGAGCCUACCAAAGCGACGAUCAGUAGCCGAUCUGAGAGGAUGAACGGCCACAUUGGGACUGAGACACGGCCCAAACUCCUACGGGAGGCAGCAGUGGGGGAUAUUGCACAAUGGGGGGAACCCUGAUGCAGCGACGCCGCGUGAGUGAAGAAGUAUUUCGGUAUGUAAAGCUCUAUCAGCAGGGAAGAUAAUGACAGUACCUGAAUAAGAAGCCCCGGCUAACUACGUG